rnacentral:snRNA from 1 species
CUCCGGAUGUGCUGACCCCUGCGAUUUCCCCAAAUGUGGGAAACUCGACUGCAUAAUUUGUGGUAGUGGGGACUGCGUUCGCGCUUUCCCCU